UACGUAGGUGGCAAGCGUUGUCCGGAAUUAUUGGGCGUAAAGCGCGCGCAGGCGGUCCUUUAAGUCUGAUGUGAAAUCUUGCGGCUCAACCGCAAGCGGUCAUUGGAAACUGGGGGACUUGAGUGCAGAAGAGGAAAGCGGAAUUCCACGUGUAGCGGUGAAAUGCGUAGAGAUGUGGAGGAACACCAGUGGCGAAGGCGGCUUUCUGGUCUGUAACUGACGCUGAGGCGCGAAAGCGUGGGGAGCGAACAGG
rnacentral:rRNA from 1 species